CUAAGACGCGGUCACACUCAGUCUGAUUGGCACAACAAACGAAAAAGUUUGCAAUUCCAGGGCGCUUUUUUUUUGCUUCGUCCAGCAAGUAAAAAACAACCACUGGAAUUCACUUUACGCACAGAACGACUUUAGAACGCAGCAGGAUGUGGAAAGCGUAGGAAAAAAAGAAAACGGGUAGUAGACAACACGCAACGAAGGCCGGAAAACGUGGAAAUGAGCCGCUAAUUAAUUAGCGAAGUAGGCAAAGAAGGAAAAGCGGCGAAAAUAGGUGUAACGUACCUCCAAAGCCAACAAUAAAUUCCGAUUUGUUGCAAAAUUUAUACCGAGCCAAGGCUUAAAAUGACAUCAUACGCAAAUGACACCACAACGACAGCAGCAGCAGCAACAACAACAACAGUCACAUCAGCAGCAGCAACAUCGGAUGGUGCAGCAGAGGCGGCAACAACAGCUGUCGCCGCCCACCAAUCAGCUGUGGGGGGCGUGGCGCCAUCAGCUGAUUCAUCCAAAGUCAAGAGCCGCAACAAUUUGUCCAUUGGCCGCCGCUGCCAACAAUACGGCGAUGAUGAUGGCAACAGCAGCGACGGACGCGAAAAGGCCGACACCACACCGGAAAAUAUCAAGAAAAUCGUGGAAAUCAUUGACAGUCCGGAUGAUGGCACGACCUCGCCCCGACAUGUCCAACUCCGGCAUCCAAUGAAUGCCGGCUUUGUGGGCCUCGGCGCAGCCAUCGAUGACUCCUGCGGCAAGUUCUGCCUUGGCAAGCCGCCACCAUCGCCGGCCGAGAAAGCAGCAGCGGCACAAAGCAGAGCGAACCAGCAACAUGGCACUCCACCGGGCAAGAGCAACAGCAGCAGCAGCAACUCCAACCAGAAAUCGGCGCCAGAUGAGGAGGAGAACUCGAGCGAGUCGAACACAACCACGAAGGCUUCGCUGGCCUUCACCAUUGAUCAUUUCGAUGCCUCCGAGAACGAUUCGGCGGCACAGGCGGCGCGCUACAAGAACAUGAUGGAGCGCUUCCAGAAUCGCCACAAGCGCGGCGCCUCCAUGUCCAAGCUGGAGACGGAGAAGGACAACACGACGGCCACCUCGACCAGUGGACGGCAGUCGCAGCGGAGCAGCUUGGAUGCUGGCAGCAGCAUGGCGGACGAUGUCUCCUCCCUCACAGCGGCCACGCCCAGUAGCGAACAGGCGCCUCCGGUGCAGGUGAAGAUGCGGGUGCGGGAUCGCAGCGCCUCCCGAGUGCGAGACGCCUCCAAGCGGCACAGUUGGUCGCCCAGAAGCUCGGCCAACGCAAACGAACCAGUGGCAGCACCUGCGCCCAGACCCGCCAGUCGAUCGAAACUGCCACCACCGGCCACGGCGGCGGCAAGCAAGGGCACCUCCAACAUGGUGGCCAACCGCACGGCCAAUCAGUUCACACCUCGCUCCACCGCCAUGCAGCUGGCCCUGCGCCAGGUGGAGAUGCUGUGUCCACAGCCACCGCUAGCCGAUGGCAAACCGUCGGCCGAGAACGAUGCAGUCAGCGAGGCGGGCACCUACACCCUCGAUGGGGACAACUAUACGGAGGAGCAGAAGGAUCUCAUGAACAUCGAUAGAAAUUUGAAGGAGGCGGCUGCCAAGCAGCGGCCCAAGCAACUGCCAGUUAAGUCCAGCCGUGGUAGCAAUGUCCUGGAGGUGAACUAUUACCACGAAACGCCGCUGCAAGAGCAGCUGCCACAGCAACUGCCAGCACAGAGGAGCUCCACAGGUGCCUAUCUGGAUCAGCUCAAGAGUCGCGUGCUGCGUCAGCAGGUGCCCCUAUCGCCUCCGACUCCCCCGUCGCCGGCAGCGGACAUGGGCUGCUUCACCAGUGUGACCACCAGUGGCGUGCUGGCCAAACAGCGCGCUUUGGAUACCCAUCCGAAGCCCAGUCGACACUCGCACAGCCUGUCCACCUCGCAGAUCGACAGCUCCGAGUAUGUGAGCAACGAGGCUAAGCUGCGGCACACGCAGGCCUUGUCCGGAUCGGCCACCGAUCGCCAGAAGGCCGAGUAUCGCCUGAAUGUGUUCACCACCAGCACCAAUCAGCAGCACCAGUUGCCGGACACACCCACCACGCCCACACAGAGCUCGGAGGCCGCCCUGCUGCAGACGGCGCAGACCAAGCAGGAUUGGAUCCAGGAGUGGGCGCGCAAUGCGCGUGCAAGGAGCCUGGCGCAGGAUGUCAGUGGCACGAGCGCCGCUCGCCGCAAGCAGCAGCAACAGCAGCAGGCGCAAGCGCAGGCACAGCAACUGAUGACACGCAGCUAUAACUGCUCCGACACGGGCGGCGAUUCCUUGACCGACGACAGCCUCAGUUUGUACAACCAGCAGCGGCAGUAUGCGGCGGCAGCCAAGCUCAAUCGCGGUCUGGCGGAGCGGUAUCGCCUGCUGGGCGACUGUGACUACGCCAGCGAUCCGGCGCUGUGCAGCCAUGGCGGUGGUGGAGGUGGACAGGGCAUGGAACCAGGCUACAAGCCACCAAAGAGUCCCAGCAAGAUACCCUCGCCGCUGCACACGCUGGGACGUGCGCGCAGUGCCAGUCGCUCGCGUCCGCCAACGGAUGCAUACUUGGAGCAAACGGCUGCGGCCAUCAGUAGUCUACAGCAGUCACUUUCACGCCGGAGUUCGGUUAAGUCGCCGGCACAGAGCAGUCCGCAGCAUAGUCUGGAAUCGGGAAUGGGUGCCGGAGCAGGCGGUGGCUAUAGACGAUCGCCGCUCCAUCGAGCGCUCAUGACCAGCAGCAUCAAUGAGGCGCAGCUGCAGUUGCUCACUAGUGGCGAGUAUCUGCUCAAGCAAUUGCGUCGCCGCAAGAACUCCCUGGAGUAUGAUCCCGGCCAGGAAGUGGAGCAUGUUGAGCCAGCAGCUGUACCCUUGUCGCCGCUGCGUCGAUCGAGUAGCUUCCAGCAGCAGCAUGGCCAGCUACCUGUGCGUCAGGCGCGUCCCAAUUUCCAGAACCUCUACACACCGCCCGCUGCCCGACAUGCCCACGCCCUGAGCACCGUUCACCAGCAGCAGCAGCUAAAGAAAUCCGCCAGCAGCAACAACUUUGAGCAGGCUUACAGCGACUACGACAAUGAGUUGCAGUAUUAUAUAAACGAUGAGGAUGAAAUGGGCACUACUGGGGCCUACUACUCCAGCAACGAAGAGGAGGAGGCUGCGGAGAGUCACGAAGAUCAGGGCGCGGUGCCGCUAAGUAACACGCGCAUGAACAAGGCACUGCUGAUGCGGAUCGAGAGAAGCAAACAAAGGGUGGCUGGAACACAGGCGCCGGCCAAACCGACCUCAGCACCAGCGGGCAAGCUGAGCAUGGCACAAAGUGGUGCUGGCUUGGUGGCCUGUCCCAAUACACCCGAAAUGCCACGGCGGGGCAUCAAGAGUGCGCCGAGGGCAGCUCCAGGAUCGGGCAAUCGAGUCGCCCGUCAGUCAAUGCCCAGGGAGACGUCUCUCAGUCGACUGGCACAGCAGGUGCCCAGUUCGCUGGCCAACGCUAAGAAGCAGUUGCUCCAAACCGCCAGUGCGGGUGUCACCUCCAAUGCCAGGGAUCAGCGUGUGCAGCCCAAAUACAUGGACAUAUCCAAGUACAAGUCGGCGCAAUCCAACAACUUUUUGCGCAAGAACGAUGCCAAGAGCACUCUGAAGCCAGCUGAUCAAAUGAAACGUAGUCCCAGUGCCUCAUCCAUGGGUCUGAGUCGCGGCGAGGGAACGCGUGCCAGUAAUCGAAGUGUGCGCAGUGCUGCCUCCGCGAUGAACACCAGUACCACUUCGCUGGGUGGCGGCAAUCCAGGAUCACGUAACUCCUCUGCAAUACGUCGCGAUGCCUCAGUGAACAAGCAAAAGGAGGCCGAAAUGGCCAUGUGGAAGCGUCGAUCCACCUAUGAUCCCAUGAAGGCGGCAGCCGAGGAUCGCCGCAAGAAGGAGGAAGCGCGACGUGCCCAGAACGAAGCUCAGCGACAGCUCAACGAUGAGGUUGAUGAAAUGCCUUUUGAGAGACCAUCACGCUCCCACUACCGCCGUGGACAGUUAUGACCAACGGAUGGUGUGCUAGUUACCGAUUUUUGAGCCAUCAGCAUACACCUAAACAUUCAGUUGACUAUCUUUCCACGAAACCCAAAAAGAAAACCAAAUACUUUCCACUACAAAAACAUGCCACACGAUCUAACAUGGUGCAAGCAGCAGCGGCAGCAGCCGAUUGUAUCACUAGAAUCCAUAUCUAGUGUCACAUACAAUCGCCGAAUCGAAUCGAAUCGAACAACGAUCAUUUUGAGAACGGAUCUAACUCGCGUAGUAUCCACAAAAAUACGAUUUUCCAAAGCAACGACAACUAGAAUGAAAUGUUUAGUAACGACAGCCAACCUGAAGCCAAAUGUGCGGCUAUCCAUUUGCCAAAUUGUGCUGCGCCCAGCCAACAAUAUGACCAUCACGAGCGGCGGCAACAGCUACAGUCCGCGAAACUCCGUGGAAAACGACGCCUGGACGCUUGGUGAAUCCUCCGAGUAUGGCGAAUAUCCCGAUGACUACGAUGAAAAC